rnacentral:rRNA from 1 species
UGCGUAGGCGGAAUGAUAAGUUAGCGGUGAAAGCCCCCGGCUCAACCGGGGAACUGCCAUUAAUACUGUCAUUCUUGAGUAUAGUUGAAGUGGGCGGAAUGUAUCAUGUAGCGGUGAAAUGCUUAGAUAUGAUACAGAACACCGAUAGCGUAGGCAGCUUGCUAAACUAUAACUGACGCUCAGGCACGAAAGCGUGGGGAGCAAACAGGAUUAGAUACCCUGGUAGUCC